CCAGAAUCAGAAUCUACCAUCUCCAUAAAAAAUAAAUAAAAUAUAUGGAGAUGGUGAACCUUAUAUAAAAAUCACAGUAUACGCCAAACAUUUCAGACUUUUCAUUUCAAACAUUGCUGAAGUCCAGGCAAAUCUAUAGAAUGGAUGAAGACUUUAAAACAAUGGUUAAUACAUUUGAAGAAUACCCACAGGAAGCAUGAAGGAAUCUGGGGAGAGUUAAAAAGAUAAGCACUGUACUUUCAAGUGCUAUUUACCCUUAAAAGGUAAAUGUCCCUCAUGAAGGGUUCUUUGAACCUUUGGAGGCAAUAUUAUGAAAUAAGUUUGAAACUUCGGCCACAGUUUGUUGUUCUGGUAAAACGAAAAUAAUGUACCUCGAUAAUAAUUCCCAUGCUCGCCUGGAUCGGGCUUGAGGAAGUUGAGGGGCCAUUAUGCGGCUGAGCCAUAGCUGCACGGGGCAGGGCCGGACCUCAAGGGGUCUCCUCCCUUUGCCCCCAAAGUCAGCGGGGAACAGCCGCUGCCCGGCAGGAGCCUGGCCCUGGUGGGUGAAGUCGUGAACCCCGGAAACUCCGACCAAAGAGCAUCGGCAAGAACAGAGCUGGUCCCCACAAACCUCCCAGCAUCCAGGGGAGGGUCACACAGCGGCUCUGGAAGGAUUCCUGCGAGUUCCUCUGGUUCACACCCCACUCUUUGACCCUCUCCUCUUCUGGUUGGACAAUAGUUAAAGCCUCACGUCGAGGAGACAAAGCAGAAGCUGGAGCAUGAGUUCUGCUUAAGUUACUUUGGUAACUAAAGAGUACCAGAAAUCUCAAGACUCAAUACCAAGGCUGAAGAAGCAAGUUUGAAAAUGGACCAAAAGCAAUGGAAGCCAAAAAGAUAACUCUGGUAGCCAUGUGGAGGACAGAUUGGAAGGAGACGAAUAUAGACUUAAGAGGACCAAUUAGAAGGGUACUGUACUUGAUCAGACACUUUACCACAGGAUUGUGUCCCCUAAAAGAAGAGAAAGAAAUCGGCUGAGCCAGGAAUAGCUUUCUGCCUGGAGGCAUUUUCCAGCGGGAGCUCAAGCACAGGAGACCAAGCAGAGGGAGCUGUCGUCCUGAACUGAGGAAAGAGAGGUCAGUGGCUGUUCCGGUGGCUGAAGCAUCUAGGCAGCUGCACAGGAAGAAAGCUCUAGAAAUCAUCAUGAGGAUAUUUAAAUGUAUGCUGUGCUUGCAACACUGAGGCCACGCUAGAAAUGCCCUCCCAAGCUUAAAAGCAAGCCUUUAGACUUGAGGAAAUGUGACAGAAACUAAAAUAGAUUUGGAGCUAGCAAAACAAAAAAUUCCCAGUAUGAUUUCUUCUUUGAUCUGUUAUUGAGAUGCCUAUUUAUAAAUUUCCAAACAUAUGGACUCUUUCGUUAUCUUUGCCUUGUUGAUCUCUAACUUAGUAACACUGUACUGAGAUAACGUGGUUGGUAUAAUGUUUGAUUUACUGAAAUAUGUUGCAGCUUGUCCUACGGCUUAAUAUAUUAUCAUUUUUGGCAACUGAUUAAUGCGUGUUUGAGAAGAAUGUAGACUCUCUAAAUUGUAGUCUGAACUACAGAUAUACAUUUGCCAGUAUAUCUGGUUACCUUUAAGAAUAAGAGAUGCAUACUUGGAUUUUUUAAUGUCAAUAAAAAUCAGUAACCUUACCCUUUCGGAACGGUCUCACCUUCAGCUGUGGGUAGCUUAAGUUGGAAACAUGAGAGAAGAGCAUAUACUAGCUGGCAAGGUCACAUGUCCACACCUGUGGCUACCUGGUCUCCCAAAUGCUGCUGAUGUUAUUUCCAGUUGUAUCUAGACCUCAGAAAACACACAAAAAAGUCAAGAGAAUUAGAAAGCCCUUCAACAGAGCGGAAGGUAGCUGUGACAAAUAGACAUUUCAAUAGGGGGAAGAAAAAGCUAUUAAGAUAAACUGAAGAUCAAAGUGUCUGAAAGUUUCCUUAAUACUGAGUUGACUAAAAUAGUUUAGAAGAGAUAAAGGUUUACAUAAAGAAGCAUAAAUCUCCAAAGAGAAUUGACUCAAUUUUGCAGUUGAGUGGCGGGCGUGCUAAUAUUUGGUGGAUGAGAUUCAGAGGCGCAAAGGAAAGGCAUUGUCCUGGGAGAUGCCCUAACUUUCCUACAGUCCUGGGAUCAUCAGUGUAAAGAAUGAGACUGUGAAGUAGUCCUGACAACAAGCUCCUUCUGCCCCUCAGGAUUUAGACCACAGUCUAAGCCGCAUUGUCCAAUACGAUAGCAGGGAGGCCACAGG
rnacentral:lncRNA from 1 species